AUGAACGCUGGCGGCGUGCCUAAUACAUGCAAGUCGAGCGAACGGACGAGAAGCUUGCUUCUCUGAUGUUAGCGGCGGACGGGUGAGUAACACGUGGAUAACCUACCUAUAAGACUGGGAUAACUUCGGGAAACCGGAGCUAAUACCGGAUGAUAUUUUGAACCGCAUGGUUCAAAAGUGAAAGACGGUCUUGCUGUCACUUAUAGAUGGAUCCGCGUUGCAUUAGCUAGUUGGUAAGGUAACGGCUUACCAAGGCAACGAUGCAUAGCCGACCUGAGAGGGUGAUCGGCCACACUGGAACUGAGACACGGUCCAGACUCCUACGGGAGGCAGCAGUAGGGAAUCUUCCGCAAUGGGCGAAAGCCUGACGGAGCAACGCCGCGUGAGUGAUGAAGGUCUUCGGAUCGUAAAACUCUGUUAUUAGGGAAGAACAUAUGUGUAAGUAACUGUGCACAUCUUGACGGUACCUAAUCAGAAAGCCACGGCUAACUACGUG
rnacentral:rRNA from 1 species